rnacentral:rRNA from 1 species
UUUUUAAUUAAUAAGAAUUAUGUUUGUAAUUUAUUUUUUUAUAAAAGUAUUUUAUUUAUUUUUUGUUUUAGUAUUGAGUAAAAAUAAAUUUUUAGAUUUAUAGUUAAUUAGUAUUGUAAAAGAAAUUUAAUAAAUUUAAAAAAGAUUUAUUUAGUACCUUUUGUAUCAGGGUUAAUUAAAAUUAUUAAUUUAUUAUUAAUUUCUCAAAAUUUAUAGAGUUAAUUUUAUUAUUAAGUUAUUGUUUAAAAAAUAUUUAAAAAAUAAUUUUAGUUUUUAGAUUUAAUUUCGUUAUGAUAUAUUUAGUUGUUUAAGAUUUAAAUUAAAUUUAUAAUUUUAAUAGUUAUAUUUAUUUAUUUUAUAAUUUAUAUUUUAAAUUUAAAUUAUUUUAGGGAUAAGCUUAAAAUUUAUAUAUAAUAAUUUAUAAAGGAUUAAUAUUUUAUAGGAAUAAAAAUUUUUAUUUAAGUUUGUAAAAAUUUGUUAUUAAAUUAAAUUUAAUUUAUUAUAUUUUUAUUUAUUUUUUAUAUUAAAUUUUAUAAUAUAAUAUUUUUAUUAUAGUAAUAAUGAUUAAAUUAGUAUAAUUAAUAUUUAUUAAUUAUGAAUUCGGCAAAAAUUUAUUUUCAUCUGUUUAACAAAAACAUUGUAUUAAUUUUUAUUUAAUAUAGGAUCUGCUCAAUGAAAAUUUUUUAAAUAGCUGCAGUAUUUUGACUGUGCAAAGGUAGCAUAAUAAUUAGUCUUUUAAUUGGGGACUUGAAUGAAAGAUUUGAUGAAAAAUAAACUUUAUUAUUAAUAUAUUUAAAAUUUUAUUUUUAAGUAAAAAAGCUUAAAUUAUUUAAAGGGACGAUAAGACCCUAUAAAACUUUAUAAUUAUUAAAUAUUUAUAUUUAUUUGUUAAAUUAUUAUUUAAAUUUUAAUAAUUAUUUUAUUGGGGUGAUAAAAAAAUUUUAUUAACUUUUUUUAAAAUUUUACAUUAUUUAAUGAAUUUUUGAAUUAAAAUUUUUAAUUAUAGGAAAAAGUUACUUUAGGGAUAACAGCGUAAUUAAUUUUUUAAGUUCUAAUUUUAAAAUUAGU